UACGUAGGGGGCAAGCGUUAUCCGGAUUUACUGGGUGUAAAGGGAGCGUAGACGGCAUGGCAAGCCAGAUGUGAAAUACCGGGGCUCAACCCCGGGACUGCAUUUGGAACUGUUAAGCUGGAGUGUCGGAGAGGCAGGCGGAAUUCCUAGUGUAGCGGUGAAAUGCGUAGAUAUUAGGAGGAACACCGGUGGCGAAGGCGGAUUGCUGGACAGUAACUGACGCUGAGGCGCGAAAGCGUGGGGAGCAAACAGG
rnacentral:rRNA from 1 species